AAGUUGUGAUGAAGGAGUAUAUUUCUUGUUUGUUCUUAGAAAUUCAGUUUCGUAUGUUUCUUUGUAUGAUUUUCAGGUUCAUAUUAAUGUGUUAGAAAGCUGAAUACUUAUUUUCAUUUUUGGUUGCAUCAUGAUCGCUCCGGAUUUUAUAGAUUAAUUGCUAUAAUUGUGUGUCUUGCACAUGUGAUUCUUCUUACAGGGAUAGAUUAGGUAAAGAUUCAAUCUUUUAAAGCCGUUACAGACUGUUGUUAGUGUUGCAAAUGCGGAUGCAGUCAUGCAUACGAUACCCAUCCGCUAUCUUCUUAUUACUCAUUGUAGUUUCAGC
rnacentral:lncRNA from 1 species